UCUAAUCCUGUUUCAGUCACUUAACAUCAGUGUUACUUGACAAAUCCCAGUCUCUCUGGGUCUUGGGUUCCCCAUCUGUCAAAUGAAGAGCUAGGAGUGUCUGAUCUCAAAGAAUACUUCCAGGUCCAGUAUUUUCUGCUCUGACUCUGUUUCAACCAAGAGGUCUCUGGAGACAAUGUCAGAGGGCAAACAGAGGAAGCUGGCUUCUCCUUUAUCCGAUCCAUGGGAGCCAGGAGGUUGACCAGUCUUAAAGAUAUGUCUAAAAGAUAUUUUCACCUCCCGUUGCAAAAAGAAGGGUCUGGGUUAAAAAAAAAUUAGAAAAAGGAAGCAUGAAGCAACACAUUUGACAGAGGACAGAGUUUCUCCAUCUUGCUCCUCCUGAGAGAUGGGCAGAAUUCUUGGGGACCAGUUGCCACUGGUACCGAUGUCACCUAUGAGGGAGGUGGGGUUCACGCUAAACCACAAAGAAGCCACACGGGGCUUGUACAGGAGAGACUGUGGCUGGCUACAUUUACUAAGAAAAAAAAAGGAAUGUCACUGCCCUUCUUCUUGCCUUCACUCCCACCCCUAGGGGAGUCUGCGGAGGCAAUGGGUCAAUAAGAAUUUGUUAAACACUUAGUAUAUGCCAAGAACUGCACUAACUGCAAAUACCCAUUCCAAAAUAUCUCUGAUUCUUCUAUUUUAUGCUGCUGUUCGACUAGUCUCUACAAGAUGAUUAAACAGCCUCAUCUUUUUCUCUGGAUCAGGAACAGAAUGGAAGGUGUCAACUAAAGGAAAGUCACUCCCACUGGGAUGGCAGAAGGGAGGAGUUGGGGAAGAAUAGUUGCACCCAUGCAAGGAUGGGGGUUAUCCCAGAGGGAGGGUUCCUGCUACAACAAAUAUUCCCAAUGCCCCAGCCACAUUUACCAGUAAAGACUCAUGUGGGAUUCUCUUUUUUUUUAUUUUUCUUUGAACAUUUUUACUUUUUCUCGCUUACUUUUUUAAAAAACCCUUACUUUCUGUCUUAGAAUAAAAACUGUGUAUUGGUUCCAAGGCAGAAGAGCUGUAAGGGCUAGGCAGUGGAGGUUUAGUGGCUUGCCCAGGGUCACACAGCUAGGAAAUACCUGAGUUCAAAUUUGAACUCAGAACCUUCUAUUUCUAGGCCUGUCUUUCAAACCACUGAGCCACUUAGCUUCCCCCUCUCUGCUUAUUUUAUUCUUUCUUUUCUCUUUUUGUUCUAUGUGUAUCCUAUUUUUCCUUGUAUGCUUUGCAUUUAGAGAUGGUUUUAAAUCACUUGUUUUGUUAUUAUUGGAAAUAUUUGUCAAAUUUUAUAAUUUUGACAUUUCUUUUUGCGUAUAUAAAAUAAAGGUGCUGUGAUGGGCUUUAGCUACCUUACCAUCCCAGAUCCAGGCCAGCUUUAUCUCUACCUCAACAUUCUAAAUGUACCAUCUCUUCUCUAAUCCUAUUGGCUAAAGCCCCCAUUCUGGUGUGUUUCCUCCACUUUUAGUUGCUAGGUAAUAGCAUCCCAGUAACAUUAAACCAAUGAACAUUAAUUAGCCUUUACCAGUUAGUUGACUUCAAAGAUAUAGCCAAAAAAGGGACUACAAACUUCUCCUCCAUAAUACUUGAGGGACACAUUCUCCCCAAUAUCAUCUUGGUACUUGGAGACUUUCUACAUGGCAUCAGACUCAGACUGAGUUCACAUUCAGCUGUGGCCUUGUCCCUGGAAAAUCUGUUGUUUCCAUUACCUCUGAUCUGAACCUGAAGACUUUGUCCCUAGAUCCCUGAAGCAUCAAAGCUAUAUCAGUUGCCUUGCAAAUCCCAGUUGAGACUCCCUUCCCAGACCUCCUAGUGUCUUGUUCUCCUGACCUGUCCAACCCAUCAAGUCAUAGCCUCUAAUCUUCACCUAAAAUUAAAGACCAAACUUCAAGGCAAAGAACCAAGGGCCAUACUCAUGAGUUAGAGGUCAGUCUCAAAUGAAAAGGGUCUCAGGUCUAUUAUAUUUGUCUCUUCUCUCACUAGAAUGCCACCAGGCUUAGAAAUAAGACAGACCAAAGAGAAGAGAAUAAGAAUUUACUAAGUUUCUACUAUAUGCCAAAUACUUUACAAAUUUCAUCUCAUUUGAUCCUCACAAUGACCUGUGAGGUAGAUUCUAUUUUGAUCUCCAUUCUAUAGUUGAAGAAACUGAGGUAGACAGAGUUUAAAUGGCUUAUACAAGGUCAAAGAACUAGUAAAUGUCUAUGAUUUCUGGUCAUUUCUUCCUAACUCCAGGACCAGCAUUCUAUCAGAGAGAGAGAGAAAGAGAGAGAGAGAGAGAGAGAGAGAGAGAAGAGAGAGAGAGAGAGAGAGAGAGAGAGAGAGAGAGAGAGAGAGAGGACUAAUGAGGACCAUCAAAUAAAUGGAUUUUCAUAAGCUCAUACACAUUUCUAGCUCAAUAAGAAACAUCCAAAUUCAAUGUGAAUUGAAAACAUAAUUAUUAACUCUAAUUCUGAGGAUUGAGGGCAUGCAGACAUUCCUGAAAUAAGAACAGAAAUGUCUCACACCUUAGAGAAAAGUCAUAAUAAAGUGAUUAGAGUAUUGGACUCAAAGUCAGGAAGAUCUACCUAGGUUCAAAUUCUAUCUCUGAUACUUCUUGGUUCUGUGUUUCUGGGAAUGAAACUUGACUAUGUAUGAUAGAGGUGGAUUUGAUAUCCUCCAUCAGUACUAAAUUUGUCCCAGGCCCAGUGGGUCAUAUAGCCACCAAAAGAAAUGCAAGAGCUAACUACCCACACUGUCCAGUGGGAAGAAAACAAAGAGAGCCAUCUACUCCAUUGACCAAAAGGAAGGAGAGAAGAAUGUCAUCUUCUGCUGGUCUAUUCACCAUGAAGAAAGAGUAAAACCUCCCAAAAUAAAUAUCUUUUAACCCCACCAAUACCACUUCCCAUAUGGCCAUACCACAGGCCAUUGGUCACAUCCCUUCUCUCUUUUGCCAACUGAGGAUUGGAAGUCACAUCAUACUUCUGCAAUAGGAGUUUUGGGGUCCCAUAGAGGUUAUGUCAUCUUCAUUCAAAUGAGUUUGUGAACAAUAGAACACUGACUCCUAAAUUCAGUCACCAUGAUGGGGCCCAUUUAUUGUUCUAGAGGAAGUUGAGAGGGGAAAAUUGAUCCUUUUCUUGUUAUUCCAUUGGAAGUAGCUUGAAGGAGGUCACGUCAAAAUCACAAGUAACCAGGAUGGCUAAGCAGACAAUCCCCUAACUUUCUAUUGGGCUUUUGGGGGAAAGUAGGGAAGAGGGUCUAGAAAGAAUAAAACAUUUAAAUAGAUAGGUAGAAUGUGAAAAAAGACUAAAGAGAGACCCCAUCAAAAUUCAGGAGGAAAAUUGGAGGAGUAAGAGAAAACAUUUUCAAGUGUGGGUUGGGUGAGAGGUUGGGAAAAUCAGGGAGGGCUACAUGGAAGAGAUGCCACCUGAAAUUAACCCUGAAUGAAAGAUUCUGAAAGGUGGAGAUAAAGCUGAUGUUAUUCUAGGCUAGAUGACCUCUAAGGUCCUUUCUAAAUCCAAAGGUCUAUGAUUGUAUUGCUUUCUGGCCAUGCUUCCCUAAUUUUAAGGUUCCCCACAGAGCCUUAGGAAACCCAAUCAAUAGUUAUUGAAUAGGAUUGAACUGAGUUAGAGUAAGAAUUUAUCAGCCAGAGUGUUCCUAGAUGUAUAUGAACUCAGUAUGUACCUGGUAUCACCCUGUGAUACCAUGGAAAGAGCACUAGAAUUGAAGUGAGGGGGCCCAGGUUCAAACAUUGCCUCUUCCUCUUAAUUUCCAUGUGAUCUCAAUUAAACACUCCACCCCUUGGACCUCAGUUUCUUCUUCUAUAAAAUCAGUGGCUUGUACUAAUUGUACAAAGAACCUUUUCAGCUCUAAAUCUAAGAUCCUUUAUGUCUUGGGCAGGUUUUGAUAAGAAAGCAGAUUUACUUCCCAUCCUAUCUCUACCUCUCAAGAACGGAAGCUAUUAUUGGAUAGGGAUUGUUUCUCUUCUUUAUUGUAUUUCCAGUACCUAGCACUAGUGGCUUGCACAUAGUAACUGGUGGUUAAUAAAUGUUUCUUCAUUUAGUUGGCUUGUUGGAUGGGGGGGAAAGAAGAAAAACCAUAAAAGAAUUGGGCAUCAUAAGGGGUUCAGACAAAGGGAUAAAAGGGGGGAGGGAGGAGAAAAAAGAGGAAUAGAAAGCCAUUGACAAUUUGGUCAGACUAGGCAUGCUUAUUCCAGUUACUCUCAUCCUGCCUUGCCUGUCUAAGGUGAGAUGACUGAGAUCUUUCUAGCUCUAAAAAGUACAUUCAGAUAUUUUGGAAGCCUGACAUGAAUGAUGUAACCAUGGGAAAAUAUUCUAAAUUAAUUAAUUAAAUAAAAAAUUUUAAUUCAGUAUAAAAAAUAAAGGGAAAGUAAAAAAAAUGAAAGAAAAAAGAAAAAAGAAAAAGAAAGAAAGAAAAGAAAGAAGAAAGAAAGAAGAAAAAGAAAGAAAGAGAAAGAAGAAAGAAAGAAAGAGGAAAGAAAAUGAAAGAAGGAAGGAAAGAAGGAAUGAAGAAAGAAAAUGAAAGAAGGAAGAAAGAAAGAAAAGAAAGAAAGAAGGAAGGAAGAAGGAAUGAGAAAGAAAAGAAGGAAAAAGAAAGAUAGAAAGAAAAGGAAAGAAGGAAGGAAGAAAGAAAGAAAACAAAUGAAGAAAAGAAGGAAGAAAAAGAAAGAGAAAG